GGGGACGGGGGGGGAGCCUAUCUGCAGUCGAGCGAACGGACGAGAGUGCUUGCACUCUCUGAUGUUAGCGGCGGACGGGUGAGUAACACGUGGGUAACCUACCUAUAAGACUGGGAUAACUUCGGGAAACCGGAGCUAAUACCGGAUAAUAUUUAGCUUCGCAUGAAGCAAUAGUGAAAGACGGUUCUGCUGUCACUUAUAGAUGGACCCGCGGUGUAUUAGCUAGUUGGUGAGGUAACGGCUCACCAAGGCAACGAUACAUAGCCGACCUGAGAGGGUGAUCGGCCACACUGGGACUGAGACACGGCCCAAACUCCUACGGGAGGCAGCAGUAGGGAAUCUUCCGCAAUGGACGAAAGUCUGACGGAGCAACGCCGCGUGAGUGAAGAAGGUUUUCGGAUCGUAAAACUCUGUUGUAAGGGAAAAACAAGUACGUUAGUAACUGAACGUACCUUGACGGUACCUUACCAAAAAGCCACGGCUAACUACGUGCCAGCAGCCGCGGUAAUACGUAGGUGGCAAGCGUUAUCCGGAAUUAUUGGGCGUAAAGCGCGCGUAGGCGGUCUCUUAAGUCUGAUGUGAAAGCCCCCGGCUCAACCGGGGAGGGUCAUUGGAAACUGGGAGACUUGAGUGCAAAAAAGGAGAGUGGAAUUCCAUGUGUAGCGGUGAAAUGCGCAGAGAUAUGGAG
rnacentral:rRNA from 1 species